rnacentral:rRNA from 1 species
GAUGAACGCUGGCGGCGUGCCUAAUACAUGCAAGUCGAGCGAACGGACGAGAAGCUUGCUUCUCUGAUGUUAGCGGCGGACGGGUGAGUAACACGUGGAUAACCUACCUAUAAGACUGGGAUAACUUCGGGAAACCGGAGCUAAUACCGGAUAAUAUUUUGAACCGCAUGGUUCAAAAGUGAAAGACGGUCUUGCUGUCACUUAUAGAUGGAUCCGCGCUGCAUUAGCUAGUUGGUAAGGUAACGGCUUACCAAGGCAACGAUGCAUAGCCGACCUGAGAGGGUGAUCGGCCACACGGGAACUGAGACACGGUCCAGACUCCUACGGGAGGCAGCAGUAGGGAAUCUUCCGCAAUGGGCGAGAGCCUGACGGAGCAACGCCGCGUGAGUGAUGAAGGUCUUCGGAUCGUAAAACUCUGUUAUUAGGGAAGAACAUAUGUGUAAGUAACUGUGCACAUCUUGACGGUACCUAAUCAGAAAGCCACGGCUAACUACGUG